CAGAACAGAUCUCACAGAGCUGGGGCCAUAGGGAUGAAGCCAUGCUCAUCACAGAGUCCCGGGAGCCCAGGCCCGAGGGGCAUCUGGUGAACACGUUAUAAUUUUGCAAAGGCGGUUUCACCAGCUACAAAUGCUAUUUGCUCCUCAUGGCUGCAAAAGACAUGGAACACACAUCCCAGAACACCCAAGGGUGCCCAGAGAAGUCACACCUCUUGGGAAAGAAACUGCCUUGACUUCGAUUCUUUGCAAGCUCUAGCAUGAGGCUCAGGGCACAGGAACACUGGGCUAUGGCAAAAGAGCACUGUUCUGCAGAAAAACCCCUCAGCCUCCAAGACACAGUGCCAGCAGUCAGAAAAACAAUUGCCCCCAGUCACAGAGCUCAGCCAGACGCCCCAGUCAGCUGCAUUUUAGGCCAGUUUGCUACCCCUGAGACCUGUGUAGAUGUCAGUGUGGACACUGACAUUCUCUUGAGCUCACACCCGAGUGGCCCACACAUAAGUACAUUAAGAAGACAGAGGAAACGGCCCACUUCAGUAGCUGGGAGAUGAUUCAGAAAGAUUUCCCAGGAACUAUCCCUGAAAACAACUGAGUACCUUGUGUUCUGUGUGGAUGAAAUGAAGACCUCAGCUUCAUCAGCUGACGUUCCUGCCACAUCUGGGAUGCCCCAGUUUGGCUUCCAGAGCAGCAAUGCUCAGCCCUGACUACACAAGAGAGUCAUAGGAGAGUUAAAACAACAACAACAACAAAACCCAUCUCUACAGAGAGAAAGAGAGAGAAAUUAGCAGGGCACAGUGAUGCAACCAUGGUCCCAGCUACUUGGGAAGCUAAGGGGGAGGAUUGCUUGAGUCCAGGAAUUCGAGGCUGCAGUGAGCUAUGAUUACACAACUACACUCCAGCCUGAGAGACAGAGCGAGACAUUGUCUCAAAACAUGCCCCCCAAAACCAAAAAGCAACAACAUCAACAUAGGCAUGUGUUGUAGACAAGAGUUAGGCUGUAUCUUAUAAAACUGAAAUGCAAUUAUCACAGAAGCUAGCAUUUGCGCUCUUGGGCAUUUAUUCUAGAGAAAUGAAAAGUUAUGUUCACAUGAAAACCUGUACCUGAACGUUCAUGGCAGCUUUCUUUGGGACAGCCCCAAACUGGAAACAAUCUGGAUGUUCCUUCAUGGGUGAGGGUGAAACAAACUGUGCUCCGUCCAUGCCAGGGAGGUUUGCUCAGCAGCAAAGACGAUGAACUCUCGUUGCGCAUGACAACUUGGGAGGAUCUCAAGGGAAUGAUGCUGAUUGAAAGAAGCCAGUCUCAAAAAUGUUCUUGGAGAAUGUGUGAUUCCAUCUAAAUAACAUUCUUGAAAUAUCAACAUUAGAGACGCAGAACAUGAGUGGCUGUUCAGGGUUAGGAAUGGGGAUGGAGCCUGAGGGGUAAUGAGGGAUGUCAUUGACCUGUGGUCAUAAAGCAGUUUUGGCUGUUGUCACUUGUGAUGGUCACAUGAAUCUGCACACAUGAGGAAAUUGCACAGAAUGAUACACACCCACACCCACAGGCAUGUAAACCAGUGAAAUCUGAAGAAGUUAGGCUGGGUGUGAUGGUGUAUGCCUGUAGUCCCAGCUACUUGGGGGCUGAGACAGGAGGAUCACUUGAGCCCAAGAGGUUGAAGCUGCAGUGAGCCAUGUUCCCAACAGUGCACUCCAGGCUAGGUGGCCAAAUGAGAACUUGUAUCAAAAAGAAAAAGAAAAAAGAGAAAAAGAAAUAUGAAGAGGUUCUGUGGAUGGUACCCAGGUCGCCCUCGUGGUUUUGACGCCAUCCUGGAGUUCUGCACAGCGUUACCAUUGGAGUUGAGGAAAAGACAUACAAGCCUGCUGUUCAUUGUUUCGCAAAUUUCUUUGCAUCCAUAAUUGCUUCCAAAUAAAAAGUAAAAACCAAAACC
rnacentral:lncRNA from 1 species